UGACGGAGCAACGCCGCGUGAGUGAUGAAGGUUUUCGGAUCGUAAAACUCUGUUGUUAGGGAAGAACAAGUACCGUUCGAAUAGGGCGGUACCUUGACGGUACCUAACCAGAAAGCCACGGCUAACUACGUGCCAGCAGCCGCGGUAAUACGUAGGUGGCAAGCGUUGUCCGGAAUUAUUGGGCGUAAAGCGCGCGCAGGCGGUCUUUUAAGUCUGAUGUGAAAGCCCCCGGCUCAACCGGGGAGGGUCAUUGGAAACUGGGAGACUUGAGUGCAGAAGAGGAGAGUGGAAUUCCACGUGUAGCGGUGAAAUGCGUAGAGAUGUGGAGGAACACCAGUGGCGAAGGCGACUCUCUGGUCUGUAACUGACGCUGAGGCGCGAAAGCGUGGGGAGCGAACAGGAUUAGAUACCCUGGUAGUCCACGCCGUAAACGAUGAGUGCUAAGUGUUAGAGGGUUUCCGCCCUUUAGUGCUGCAGCAAACGCAUUAAGCACUCCGCCUGGGGAGUACGGCCGCAAGGCUGAAACUCAAAGGAAUUGACGGGGGCCCGCACAAGCGGUGGAGCAUGUGGUUUAAUUCGAAGCAACGCGAAAACCUUACCAGGUCUUGACAUCCUCUGACAAUCCUAGAGAUAGGACGUUNCCCUUUUAGGGGACAGAGUGACAGGUGGUGCAUGGUUGUC
rnacentral:rRNA from 2 species